GGCCCCGCACAAGCGGUGGAGUAUGUGGUUUAAUUCGAUGCAACGCGAAGAACCUUACCAGGGUUUGACAUCCUGCGAAUCUCUUGGAAACGAGAGAGUGCCUUCGGGAGCGCAGUGACAGGUGGUGCAUGGCUGUCGUCAGCUCGUGUCGUGAGAUGUUGGGUUAAGUCCCGCAACGAGCGUAACCCUUGUUUUUAGUUGCCAUCAUUUAGUUGGGCACUUUAAAGAGACUGCCGGUGAUAAACCGGAGGAAGGUGAGGACGACGUCAAGUCAGCAUGCCCCUUACGCCCUGGGCUACACACGUACUACAAUGGCCGAGACAAAGAGUCGCAAGUCUGCAAAGGCAAGCUAAAUCUCAUAAACUCGGUCUCAGUUCGGAUUGCAGGCUGCAACUCGCCUGCAUGAAGUUGGAAUC
rnacentral:rRNA from 1 species